GAUGAACGCUAGCGGCAGGCUUAACACAUGCAAGUCGAGGGGUAAGUCAUUUCGGUGACUGAGACCGGCGCACGGGUGCGUAACGCGUAUGUAAUCUACCUUUUACAGGGGGAUAGCCCAGAGAAAUUUGGAUUAAUACCCCAUAGUAUUAUUGAAUGGCAUCAUUUAAUAAUUAAAGUUCCAACGGUAAAAGAUGAGCAUGCGUCCCAUUAGCUAGAUGGUAAGGUAACGGCUUACCAUGGCGACGAUGGGUAGGGGUCCUGAGAGGGAGAGCCCCCACACUGGUACUGAGACACGGACCAGACUCCUACGGGAGGCAGCAGUGAGGAAUAUUGGUCAAUGGGCGCAAGCCUGAACCAGCCAUGCCGCGUGCAGGAUGACGGUCCUAUGGAUUGUAAACUGCUUUUGUACGGGAAGAAACACUCCUACGUGUAGGAACUUGACGGUACCGUAAGAAUAAGGAUCGGCUAACUCCGUGCCAGCAGCCGCGGUAACAC
rnacentral:rRNA from 1 species